CCCCGGCGGUGCAAGAUGGGCCCGCGUCUGAUUAGGUAGUUGGCGGGGUAACGGCCCACCAAGCCGACGAUCAGUAGCCGACCUGAGAGGGUGACCGGCCACAUUGGGACUGAGACACGGCCCAGACUCCUACGGGAGGCAGCAGUGGGGAAUAUUGCACAAUGGGGGAAACCCUGAUGCAGCGACGCCGCGUGAAGGAUGAAGUAUUUCGGUAUGUAAACUUCUAUCAGCAGGGAAGAAGAUGACGGUACCUGACUAAGAAGCCCCGGCUAACUACGUGCCAGCAGCCGCGGUAAUACGUAGGGGGCAAGCGUUAUCCGGAUUUACUGGGUGUAAAGGGAGCGUAGACGGCGUUGCAAGCCAGAUGUGAAAGCCCGGGGCUCAACCCCGGGACUGCAUUUGGAACUGCGUGGCUGGAGUGUCGGAGAGGCAGGCGGAAUUCCUAGUGUAGCGGUGAAAUGCGUAGAUAUUAGGAGGAACACCAGUGGCGAAGGCGGCCUGCUGGACGAUGACUGACGUUGAGGCUCGAAAGCGUGGGGAGCAAACAGGAUUA
rnacentral:rRNA from 1 species